rnacentral:rRNA from 1 species
GACGAACGCUGGCGGCGUGCUUAACACAUGCAAGUCGAACGGAAAGGCCCUGCUUUUGUGGGGUGCUCGAGUGGCGAACGGGUGAGUAACACGUGAGUAACCUGCUCUUGACUUUGGGAUAACUUCAGGAAACUGGGGCUAAUACCGGAUAGGAGCUCCUGCUGCAUGGUGGGGGUUGGAAAGUUUCGGCGGGUGGGGAUGGACUGGCGGCUUACCGGCUUGUUGGUGGGGGAGUGGCUUACCAAGGCUUUGGCGGGUAGCCGGCCUGAGAGGGUGACCGGCCACAUUGGGACUGCGAUACGGCCCAGACUCCUACGGGAGGCAGCAGUGGGGAAUAUGGCACAAUGGGCGGAAGCCUGAUGCAGCAACGCCGCGUGCGGGAUGACGGCCUUCGGGUCGUAAACCGCUUUCGCCUGUGACGAAGCGUGAGUGACGGUAAUGGGUAAAGAAGCACCGGCUAACUACGUG